GGUCGCAUGGCCCAAUGGCAAGGCGUCUGACUACGAAUCAGGAGAUUGUGGGUUCGAUCCCCACUGUGACCU
rfam:Stachybotrys chlorohalonata IBT 40285 unplaced genomic scaffold scaffold241, whole genome shotgun sequence.